UCCUAAACUAACAUGUACUACAAUAAUAAUAAUAACAAUCAAACAAACCCAGAACUCCCAUAAUGCAUUGCUCCAAUGCAUUAUGAUCAACAGCGUGUCUGCUUUAAAAGACAGCAUGUCCAUGCAAACCUUUACUUUUCUUUAAGUGAAAAGACACUUAUUUAUGGAGUUAAAUUUGUCUCAUUAAUACCUGUAAAUGCACAGAGGGUGAUAAAUACAGUGGUCCUUUGCUA